UUUCUCUCGUCGCGCUGCCAAUUCCCCUCGCUCUAUUCUCCUUCCUCGCUCUCGCGGCAUCCCAUCGAUCCACGGCCAGAUCCACAGCCCACCCCGACCCACUACGAUCCAUCCCCCUCGUCUCUGCCGCCCAGUUGCGCCGCGGCCGCCGUCUGCGGUCCCUCCUCGUCCUUCGCGUAGCCGCCGUCUGCGGCCCCUCAUCCCCUCCUCUCUCUCCCGCUCGACUCACUUGUCGUCGCUCCCCCCCACGCUCGAUCCCGGCGAGGACGUAGCAGUCGAUCCCGACGAGGACGGCGGCGGUAAGGUCGGCGCCCUCGUCGAGCGGCACGCGGCGCUGGCGGCGGGGUCUGGCCAGCGACGCCGAGAUCUGCUACGGCGCGACGCCGACACGGUCCGUCACGACCGCCUACAGUUUCCGCACGUCCAACGACGGCUGCACGGUCACCAUGCCCAGGUCCACGCUCUGCUCCCACUGCUUUUUUCUCUCUCUUGGCCGCUGCCGCCGCGUAGAAUUUGAUGCUUCCAUGGUCGUUCCCUCGAUUUGAUCAGGAGUGCCCUGCCCGGACGGCGGCCGGUGGUGAGGAGGUCGCCUGGAGCCGGAGCCAGCACCAGCGCCAUGCCUUCCCAGAGCUCGAGUGGAUGCACUUAUUGCUGCUUGAUCUCAAGCACUACGGCGUCAACUUUGUGGUGGCCGACGCAACGGCCAUCGAGCACAACUUCUUCGCCAAGAACAACCUCAGCGUGGACAUCACGCCGCAGUACAUCAUGAUGGAGCUUGGCUAGAUGUACACAUAUUUUUUUACAACCUCAGCGUGCAUUUUUUUUUUACAAUGCACCAAAGUUUCUUGUUUCUGUUGUGAAAGUAAUGUAAAUGGUGUUACACAGUUCUCAAUAAAAAUGCAAAUAACUUGUGAAUUUGUCUUCAUGUUGUAUAAGUCUCGACAAAGUUAAUUUGCAUAAUCCUCGACCUCCUCCUGCAAUCUCUCUUUCUCCCUUUCUUCUCUGAAUUUCCCGAUGUUGUAUAAGUCUGUAAGAUUCAGAUUUUAAGAGUACUUGCUCCCUGUACUAGUUACUUCUACUACUUAUUUUUAGCUGUUUAGUACUACUCUGUAGAUAUGUGAUACUAGUCUAGUCGCUUGUAUAAUUUUGUUUAAUAGUGUAACCUGAACCAUUGAGUAGUACCCUGUUCGCAUAUGUGUGAUUAUGUGUGUUCUGUAGUCUCUAGCUCCAGUACAUGUGAACUAUAUGUUGUGGUGUAAAUCAUUUUCAUUCUAUCUUAUAAACGUGUUUCUUCAAUAGCUAUUUCUGUUCAAGUCUUGUUGUCAUUGAUGUUAGCAUUUAGUUUGUCUCAAGUAAAAAAAUACUAAAAAUACAGUGAAGAUAAUCUGAACCUCCCUAUGUAAAAUUUAGUUUGUCUGUAAUACUACUAGGAGAUGGGUGAGGGACUAAAAGGAUGAUAUGCUUCCAUGAAUUUAUUUGUAAGAAGUUUUUCUUGGUUGUGUACAAAUCAGCACAAAUAUGUGAGCCUCGGUUCUGAAAACUAAAGAAUUCAUAUAUUGGUAGAUAGACUAUGAUUUAGGAUAUGCUAAACAGAAAGCUUUAUAAGAUGGAACUAUCAAUUCAUCAUGACUUCACUUUGUCCUUUAAUUUAAUUUAAUUUAAUAUGGUUAGAACUACCAUGGUUUUUUAAGUAGUUGGCGCAUUAAGAAACAGUAUGCUGGAUGUUUGGCCUUGCAUCCGUCCUUCCAUGAAUUCAUGCUUGUGCAUUGCUAGUUAUUGAUUUUUUUGCAGGUCUUCUUCUUCCUUGAUCUGGUGCAGCAGCAACAAUUCAAGGUCAUGGUCAUGGAGCAGCAGCCAUAUAUUUUUCUUCUUAUUCUUCCCUGAGAUGACAUGAGAUGAGGCUCUGUUGGUCGGUCUUCAAUUCUUCAUGCCGCUGCUGCUGCUGCUACAUGAGGACCCUCUUCAAUUCUGCAUCCGUUGCGGCCACUGCAGCUUCCACCUCUAGCCGGCCGCAUUCGCAAGUAUGCUGGCAUUUCAUUCAGGACAAAGAAGUUGGAUGAAGCAUAGUUUUACCUCAUUGAGCUAGUUCUGGGAGUAACAAACUCCUUGUAGCAGAACUUGUACGUGUGCUAGGUCUGGGAGCUGAUCCUAUUUGUGUGUUAUAUGAUGUAGCAGAACUUGUAGGGCUCCUGUGAUAGACUUGGGCUGAUACACUUGGGCUGUAUGUGUGUUAUCUAAUUGUAAACUUGAUGCUGAUCACAUUUUUAUGUAUGUUAUAUGAUGUAGUAGAUUGCUUCCUGCUGUUAUUUGAAA